rnacentral:rRNA from 1 species
AGCAGCCGCGGUAAUUCCAGCUCCAAUAGCGUAUAUUAAAGUUGUCGCAGUUAAAAAGCUCGUAGUUGAAUUUCGGAAUCAUCAGGUUCGGUCGUGCCUCUGGUAUGUACUGAUUUCGAUGGUUCCUCCUUCUUGAAGAUCCGUAAUGCCAUUAAUUUGGUGUUGCGGGGAAUACAGGACUGUUACUUUGAAAAAUUAGAGUGUUUAAAGCAGGCAAUCGCUUGAAUACAUUAGCAUGGAAUAAUGAAAUAGGACGUUCGAUCCUAUUUUGUGGUUUCUAGGAUUGACGUAAUGAUUAAUAGGGAUAGUUGGGGGCAUUAGUAUUCAAUUGUCAGAGGUGAAAUUCUUGGAUUUAUUGAAGACAAACUACU